GUCAAUAACCCAUCACUAAAGUGACGGGCUUGAAAAAGCCUUUAUUGAUUAGACUAAGUAUUAAAUUACUACGUUAUUAUAGUUAUCAUACCCUAGAAUAUUUAUCCUAGUUCUAGGCUCUAUGCAGGCACUGUAAACAUCUCUGAGGGUAGGAGAAGUCAACCUGAUUUGUAGGUUUUACCUAAAAGCUACUAUAACAUUGUCGAAGGAUAACUAAC
rfam:Epulopiscium sp. Nele67-Bin004 Nele67MMBin003_4, whole genome shotgun sequence.